rnacentral:rRNA from 1 species
CCUACGGGUGGCAGCAGUGGGGGAUAUUGCACAAUGGGGGAAACCCUGAUGCAGCGACGCCGCGUGAGUGAAGGAGCGUUUCGGCACGUAAAGCCCUAUCAGCAGGGAAGAAAAUGACAGUACCUGACCAAGAAGCCCCGGCUAACUACGUGCCAGCAGCCGCGGUAAUACGUAGGGGGCAAGCGUUAUCCGGAUUUACUGGGUGUAAAGGGAGCGCAGACGGUAAUGGAAGCCUGGAGUGAAAGCCCGGGGCCCAACCCCGGGACUGCUUUGGGAACUGGGUGGCUGGAGUACAGGAGGGGCAGGCGGAAGUCCGGGUGUAGGGGUGAAAGGCGUAGAUAUCAGGAGGAACACCGGCGGCGAAGGCGGCCUGCUGGACUGGGACUGACGUUGAGGCCCGAAGGCGUGGGGAGCAAACAGGAUUAGAUACCCUUGUAGUC